CCCCGGUUAAAAGCAUUUGUUGAGUCUUUUGCUCAGUCUGAGCUGUCAAGACAGGGCAGAAUAAAAACACUGCUUUUGGGUGAAGUGGUAACAUCUUGUGUUGGUAAGCUUCAAUCUGUGUCAUGACAGAG